rnacentral:lncRNA from 1 species
AAAAUUUACAGGGCCAUGUGCUUACAUCACUUUGCAUGUAUUAAUUUUUCCUGGACGCUAAUGCGCAUCCGAAGGCAGUUUCCCCUGAAACCUAAGGUUCGGGAGAAGCCAGACCAUGUCUUAUUUGAGCUCAGUUACAAAAGAAAUUAAAAUCAAAUUUCCUAAAUUUAAGCACUUUCCUCGAAAAUGUAUCACUUUCCACCAAUGUGUGUGUGAGCUUACACACAUAUAGACACAUUGGCGCACAGAGUUGGCUUUUUUGGUUCUGUUUUUAAGGCAAUCAUCAAUAAUGAGGAUGUCCCUUCAGGCAAAUCUCCAUCUCUGGGAGUUUUGCUAACAAGUUAAAAACCUGUCCGGCCCUCCUGAGCUCACCCAAUUUUUCAUGAUAGAGAAUGACAACACAGCAAACAACAGGAGUGCAUUCGGUCCAUAAAACCUCUGCGGGAAGGAUGCUAAAAGUCUCAGACAAAAACACGAAAUCUCACACCUAAGACUGAAGGUGGCUGGAUGGCAAAUGGACAACUGUCAGUCGUCACUUUCAUACCCACGGAAAGACUCCACAACCUCUAGCCAGUUAGCCAAUGAGCAGUCAUUAAACCCCUUCACUCACCAAUAGUAAUAUUAAUUAUUGCUCAUCGAUUAAAUAUUCAUAUCACUUAUGACCUGUAUUAAUAUUAAUACUAUAUAUUUGUCAGAACACAAGAUGAAAUAUAGAGUUCUUGAGGGCCAACGAUGAUGAAGAAUGCUAUCUGUCUCCUUACGGAGGCGAGAGGGGAUGGACUUAAAGUGCAGAAUGAGACCUACGUUUUUGCAUGUGGCCAAGAAAGGAAAACUCUCACAAAACUAAACCAAACCAAACCCUUGGAAGAAAUAUGCAUGGAAAGGCAAAGGGAUUUCUAAGAGGGAGAGUUGCUGCCUACAAGGACCUUACAGUCUGAAAGGGGGAUGCUCACAGAUAAGCAAAUAGAGGACACAUGCGAAUAAAAUCAGUGAUGAAGGGGAGAAUUAACUACUA